UUUUUCAGGGUUAAAUGUCGACAUUUUAGAUGAGUCUUCUAUUUUUAAGGUCUGAUAUCAUUUUUUGAUGUGUCUCCAAUUUUUAGGGACC
rfam:Populus trichocarpa scaffold_19_contig_251, whole genome shotgun sequence.